CAUCCCACGCCUAUAUCCCUAUUACUUUGAAACACGCGCAUUUUCCCUUUACAUUGGCUUUUCUCUCUCAUUUCAUUAACCUAAUUUCUAUUUGUUUCCGCCGCCCCGCCCCCCACACACCAGACCACCAUCGCCGCCCUCACGGCUCACACGCUGCCAGCUCCAGCCAGCCUUCUCUGCCGCCGCCGCCCACACCCUACUGACGUCGUUGGAGCCUCUGGUAGUUGUCCAAUUUUAUUAUUUGUGAAAAUUAACUUAUGGAAUCCUAUAUUCGUACAAAUUUGAAUUUUAUCUCUUCUAGAUUGAGAUUGAUUCAUUUAUGUUAGCCUCUAUUUACCUAUCUGCAACAAAUUUACCGUACCUUAAUCGCCCUUCUCCAUUCACUGCACGUCAUAUUUUUUUUUAUAACUUCAUAUUUUUUUUCAAAAAUAUUUAAUUUUAGCAUUUCUUUGUAGAAAAUUUAAUUUAACUCCUCCAACUUCUGCGUCUGUUACUCAUUACCACGCUGAUAUUGAGACUAAAAUUCAUAGCUUUUAAGUAUUUUACUUGUUGAUAAAUUACUUAAAUUUAUUUGCAUUUGGGAACCUAAAUUGAAAAUUGCUUUUAAAAUACUACUUCUGACAAUUUUAGAAUUUGGGUGUUAGAUCUACUUGUAACACUAAUUUAUAUUUGAUAUUCUUGCAGGAAUAUGGAUAGAUCAAAUUUAGUAGAGCAUACACCUCAAGAUUGAUGGAAGAUUGAAUGUUUGAUAAUUGUUGUAGUGAAGUGUUAUUUUGAUUAGUUUGAAACUUCUCUUUAUUUAUAAAUUUGAUGGAUUGCAAAGUUUUGAAUGUUAUGGUUUGUAUUGAGAAUUUAAAUAGUUGGAAUCAUCAAUUCUGUGUUUUUAUUAGAUAAAUGUAUUGAAUAUAUCCU
rnacentral:lncRNA from 1 species